rnacentral:rRNA from 1 species
UGGGGAAUAUUGCACAAUGGGCGCAAGCCUGAUGCAGCCAUGCCGCGUGUGUGAAGAAGGCCUUCGGGUUGUAAAGCACUUUCAGCGAGGAGGAAGGUGGUGAGCUUAAUACGCUCAUCAAUUGACGUUACUCGCAGAAGAAGCACCGGCUAACUCCGUGCCAGCAGCCGCGGUAAUACGGAGGGUGCAAGCGUUAAUCGGAAUUACUGGGCGUAAAGCGCACGCAGGCGGUUUGUUAAGUCAGAUGUGAAAUCCCCGGGCUCAACCUGGGAACUGCAUUUGAAACUGGCAAGCUAGAGUCUCGUAGAGGGGGGUAGAAUUCCAGGUGUAGCGGUGAAAUGCGUAGAGAUCUGGAGGAAUACCGGUGGCGAAGGCGGCCCCCUGGACGAAGACUGACGCUCAGGUGCGAAAGCGUGGGGCAGCAAACAGGAUUAGAUACCCUGGUAGUCCACGCUGUAAAACGAUGUCGAUUUUGGAGGUUGUGCCCUUGAGGCGUGGCUUCC